rnacentral:misc_RNA from 1 species
GAGAAGAACGUAGCGAAAUGCGAUACGUAAUGUGAAUUGCAGAAUUCAGUGAAUCAUCGAGUCUUUGAACGCACAUUGCGCCCCCUGGUAUUCCGGGGGGCAUGCCUGUCCGAGCGUCAUUGCUGCCCUCAAGCACGGCUUGUGUGUUGGGCCUCCGUCCUCCUCCCGGGGGACGGGCCCGAAAGGCAGCGGCGGCACCGCGUCCGGUCCUCGAGCGUAUGGGGCUUCGUCACCCGCUCUUGUAGGCCCGGCCGGCGCUUGCCGACACAUCAAUCUUUUUUCCAGGUUGACCUCGGAUCAGGUAGGGAUACCCGCUGAACUUAAGCAUAUCAAUAAGCGGAGA